AGACGGAUGGAGUGGAGCGGGCCGUGCGUAGGGAAUGCGCAUGCGCGAGGUGGGCAUGUAGUCCCCACCCUCGCUGAGCAGUGGGCUCGUCCAAACUCUACUGUUUGCGGGGAGCCUUGCCCGAGACCUUCAUUCAUUCAGUCUUUCCGUCAUGCUGAGUUACCUCGGUUCCCGCAACAUUUUCUGGGGGCUCCUCCGGGAUUCGGAGAAGGGCGUAUUCACCUCCUUUGUCGCCGAGGGAUUGUCCCCGGGGCGCCGGAAGAGGUGACUGGCGCCCGCAGACUUGUUCCGUAGGAGACUCACCCUUCCCGACGGGUGGAGGAUAUAACCCGAAUGCAAAACGGAACCUGGUGAGACGUGACAAACAGUGGGGAACCUUCCCGGUCUGACUGAACCCUGAGUAGACCCAAGGGGCGGUCAUAGGACUUCAAAUCUAUGGAAGGGGCACUGACCCUGGAACCCUACUUCAUAUCAAAUGGGUAAAUAUAACACAGAAGUGAAACUCCUUUGAGGUCUUCCAGUCCUUUUAUGAAGAAAUAAGAAGUGCAGUACCACUGUCCCUGUCACCAGGAUCUUGUUCCUCUCCCCAGCUGAAACAAUGGUACAAUCCCUUAAUGUAACCCCCUGCUGUGUCUGCAGAAGAAAUAACGUGGGGGAUCAGUGGCCCUGGGGAGCAAAAGAACUCAAUCCUAAGGAACUAUACAAUGAAACUUCUACUCCCCGGUCGGCUGAGGGGUCCUGGGCCUUAAAAACUUCUACCUUCAACAUGUCAGUGGGAAAUUUAACUUGUCUGGGUCAAAAAUAUUACAGUGCCUCAUCCCAGGCAACCCUGCGGUGGGGCUCAACUCAAAAUUAUUCAGAACCCGACCCCCCAUCCGCUAGCAAACUUCAUCCACCUCAGUUCCACCCAGUACAACGUCGCAUUAGAGGUUAAAUGGAGGGCCCAGGAGGCUUAUACUGGGUUUGUAGAAAAACUGCCUAUGUUGAGCUUCCCCCUUUCUGGUCAAGGUCAUGUGUCUUAGGAACUA